CCUACGGGUGGCAGCAGUGAGGAAUAUUGGUCAAUGGCCGGGAGGCUGAACCAGCCAAGUCGCGUGAGGGAAGACGGCCCUACGGGUUGUAAACCUCUUUUGUCAGGGAGCAAGGUGCAGGUCGGGACCUGCUGUGAGAGUACCUGAAGAAAAAGCAGCGUCUAACUCCGUGCCAGCAGCCGCGGUAAUAGGGAGGAUGCGAGCGUUAUCCGGAGUUAUUGGGUUAAAGGGGUGCGCAGGCGGAGGCACAAGGCAGCGGUAAAAUCGCGGGGCGCAACCCCGUUCCGCCGUUGAAACUGUGUCCCUUGAGUGCGCGAAGGGUAGGCUGAAUGCGUGGUGUAGCGGUGAAAUGCAUAGAGAUCACGCAGAACUCCGAUCGCGAAGGCAGCCUACCGGCGAGCAACUGACGCUCAUGCACGAAAGCGUGGGUAUCGAACAGGAUUAGAUACCCGUGUAGUC
rnacentral:rRNA from 1 species